GACGAACGCUGGCGGCGUGCCUAAUACAUGCAAGUAGGACGCAGUUGCGAACGGGUGAGUAAUACGUGAGUAACCUGCCCUCCUUUUUGGGCUAAGCCUUGGAAACGGGGCCUACUACCGAAUAAAGGGGGUUGGGCUCGCGGCCUAUCCGCUUGUUGGGGGGGUGAUGGCCUACCAAGGGGCUGACGGGUAGCCGGCCUGAGGGGGUGACCUGCCACCAUGGACCUGAGGAACAGCCCAAACGCCUUCGGCAGGCAGCAGUGGGGGAUAAUGCACAAUGGGCGAAAGCCUGAUGCAGCGACGCCGGGUGGGGGAAGAAGGGUUUCGGGUUGUAAACCUCUUUGGCUAUCGAACGGGUAGGUGGAGAAGAAGCGCCGGCUAACUACGUGCCAGCAGCCGCGGUAAUUC
rnacentral:rRNA from 1 species